AGAGUUUGAUCCUGGCUCAGGACGAACGCUGGCGGCGUGCCUAAUACAUGCAAGUAGAACGCUGAAGUCUGGUGCUUGCACUAGACGGAUGAGUUGCGAACGGGUGAGUAACGCGUAGGUAACCUGCCUCAUAGCGGGGGAUAACUAUUGGAAACGAUAGCUAAUACCGCAUAACAGUAUUUACCGCAUGGUAGAUGCUUGAAAGGAGCAAUUGCUUCACUAUGAGAUGGACCUGCGUUGUAUUAGCUAGUUGGUGAGGUAACGGCUCACCAAGGCUUCGAUACAUAGCCGACCUGAGAGGGUGAUCGGCCACACUGGGACUGAGACACGGCCCAGACUCCUACGGGAGGCAGCAGUAGGGAAUCUUCGGCAAUGGGGGCAACCCUGACCGAGCAACGCCGCGUGAGUGAAGAAGGUUUUCGGAUCGUAAAGCUCUGUUGUAAGAGAAGAAUUGUGAGAAGAGUGGAAAGUUUCUCAUUUGACGGUAUCUUACCAGAAAGGGACGGCUAACUACGUGCCAGCAGCCGCGGUAAUACGUAGGUCCCGAGCGUUGUCCGGAUUUAUUGGGCGUAAAGCGAGCGCAGGCGGUUUGAUAAGUCUGAAGUAAAAGGCUGUGGCUUAACCAUAGUACGCUUUGGAAACUGUCAAACUUGAGUGCAGAAGGGGAGAGUGGAAUUCCAUGUGUAGCGGUGAAAUGCGUAGAUAUAUGGAGGAACACCGGUGGCGAAAGCGGCUCUCUGGUCUGUAACUGACGCUGAGGCUCGAAAGCGUGGGGAGCGAACAGGAUUAGAUACCCUGGUAGUCCACGCCGUAAACGAUGAGUGCUAGGUGUUGGGUCCUUUCCGGGACUCAGUGCCGUAGCUAACGCAUUAAGCACUCCGCCUGGGGAGUACGACCGCAAGGUUGAAACUCAAAGGAAUUGACGGGGGCCCGCACAAGCGGUGGAGCAUGUGGUUUAAUUCGAAGCAACGCGAAGAACCUUACCAGGUCUUGACAUCCC
rnacentral:rRNA from 1 species